rnacentral:rRNA from 1 species
UACAAAGGGUGCAAACAUUGUCCGAAUUUAUUGGGUUUAAAGGAUACAUAGGCAACUGAUUAAACCAAUAAUAAAAAUUUCAAACUUAACCCAAAAAUUACCAUUAAUACUGGUCGGCUUGAGUAUUGGAGGGGUACAUGGAAUUGAUGGUGUAGCGGUGAAAUGCAUAAAUACCAUCAAAAACACCGAUAACAAAGGCAUUGUACUGGCCAAUAACUGACGCUGAUGCACGAAAGCAUGGGUAGCGAACAGG